GUCGUUCGAUUGAUUUUAAUUGAUUAAAUAGUGUCACUAACUUAUUUUGGUUGGAAUUUAUUGAUUUUGUAGAUAACAUAAUGAAGUCUGAGGUAGCGCUCUGAACCAAUUGGUAAAGUUGUGGAUUCCUUGUUUGCAUCGCAACUGGAGCUUUUCUGGUGAACCAGUUUGAAGAUUCUCAACCGCGUGUGACAAUUAGGUCAUCCACUUUCAGACCCUGAUGAACAUGAUUCUGACCCAAACACUAAGAAGACAAAGAAGAAGAAACCUUCAGAUAUGAAGAGCGGGGAACUGAAGUCUCGGAGAUCCAGCAAGAGACUCAAGACUGCAACCUAAUUAUUAAGAGAAAUAGUCGUGGACUGUAGGAUUUGGAUGUUUAAACUUUUAAGUCUCCCUCUAAAAUUUUGUUAUCUUGAGGUUACUGCACAAUUAUUAGAUAUCGAGACGUUUAUUAUAUUGUGAAUAAAGAUUAUUUUGGUUCAAUUCUAAUUGUAGUCUUGAUUAAUUUUUU